UAACAUGGCGACUCAAGUCAGCUUUAACCAUCAAAACAUGAAGAGGCCAAUGUGGCUGAAGGCAAAGUCUCACUUUACCGCCCUUGGUAGAGUGCCGUGACGUCACAGGACUCACGCAACCUCCAGCUCUAGGGCUUCCGCGAUUCUCCUGCUUCAGCAUUCCGAGAAGCUGCGACUACAGGCUCCCGCCACAACGCCCAGUUCGGCUGGGGCUGGGUUUGAACCCGCCACCCUCGGUAUAUGGGGCCGGCGCCCUACUCACUGAGCCACAGGCGCCACCCUAUGUGACAAGGUUUUAAAGGCUCACUCUGGUUGCUGUGUAGACAAUAGAUUACCUGAAAGCAGGGAGGAAGUCCACUACUUAAGAAGCACAAUUGCGCAAGACACUCCAAACUCCUGGAUCUAGACAGCCCUGUCUCAAAAAACAAAAAUUAUAUUUUACUGCUUGAUCAGAGACCUUCUUAAGUAUAACUGACUUAAAUUAUUAUUAUUUUUGUUAUUUAUUUAUUAUUUUUAUUUAUUUAUUUUUUUUGUAGAGACAGAGUCUCACUAUACUGCCCUCGGGUAGAGUGCCGUGGCGUCACACGGCUCACAGCAACCUCCAACUCUUGGGCUUACGCGAUUCUCUUGCCUCAGCCUCCCAAGCAGCUGGGACUACAGGCGCCCGCCACAACGCCUGGCUAUUUUUUGUUGCAGUUGGCCGGGGCUGGGUUUGAACCCGCCACCCUCGGCAUAUGGGACCGGCAGAGGCUCACUAUGUUGCCCUCGGUAGAGUGCAGUGGCGUCACAGCUCACAGCAGCGUCAAACUCUUGGGCUUAAGCGAUUCUCUUGCCUGAACCUCCCAAGUAGCUGGGACUACAGGCGUCUGCCACAACGCCUGGUUAUUUUUUUGUUGUAGUUGUCAUUGUUUAACAGGCUUGGGCCAGGUUCGAACCCACCAGCCUCAGUGUAUGUGGCCAGCGCCCUAACCACUGAGCUAUGGGUGAUGAGCCUAUUAUUGGUUAUUGAGCCAGGGUGGUGCUCUGUUGCUCAGGAUGGAGUGCAAUGGUAUCAUCAGAGCUCUCUGCAACCUUCAACUUCUAUGCUUAAGAGAUCCUCCUGCCUCAGCCUUCUUAAGGAUUCCUGGGUGAAUGACAAGAUGUGAGCUGAUCCGGCCUCAGACCAUGGCCCAAAUUCUCAGGACAGAAUCAAUAACAGGAUCAGAAAACCUGUGAAAAGUCUUCUCAUCAUCUAACCA